CAGAACGUCGUGAGACAGUUCGGUCCCUAUCCGUCGUGGGCGUAGGAAAUUUGAAAGGAGCUGUCCUUAGUACGAGAGGACCGGGAUGGACAUACCGCUGGUGUACCAGUUGUCGUGCCAACGGCACAGCUGGGUAGCUAUGUAUGGAAGGGAUAAGUGCUGAAAGCAUCUAAGCAUGAAGCCCCCCUUAAGAUGAGAUUUCCCAUUGUGAAUACAAGUAAGACCCCUGAGAGACGAUCAGGUAGAUAGGCGUGAGGUGUAAGUGUGGUGACAUAUGAAGCUGACACGUACUAAUCGGUCGAGGACUUAAUCCA
rnacentral:rRNA from 1 species